rnacentral:rRNA from 1 species
CACGUAGGGUGCGAGCGUUGUCCGGAAUUAUUGGGCGUAAAGAGCUCGUAGGCGGUGUGUCGCGUCGGCCGUGAAAACCUGCAGCUUAACUGUGGGCUUGCGGUCGAUACGGGCAUCACUGGAGUUCGGCAGGGGAGACUGGAAUUCCUGGUGUAGCGGUGAAAUGCGUAGAUAUCAGGAGGAACACCGGUGGCGAAGGCGGCUUUCUGGACAGAUACCGACGCUGAGGCACGAAAGCUAGGGGAGCAAACAGG